UUCAACUUUCACGGCGAAGCCGUCAAUAAUUAGUCCAUCGGAGUCCCUGCAGAUACCAGCUAUCGAUCCCUCCAAGGCAUCGCUGAUCCAAGAUCCGUCAACGUUAUAUUUCAUGGUCCCCUUCUCCGGGGGAACCCAUCGGACAGGUUCUCGGACAUGGCUUCAGCCCUUGGAAGACCAGGUUAUUGCGGCCCUUCCAGAUCCGCCAAAGUAUUCCAGCGAAAAGCUCGUUCGACAGUGAAGUAGAGUCCGAGAGGAUGAACAAGUGUUCCAAUGUUUCUGGUGCUCGACCACAAACAGGGCACAGUGGGUCAGGUACAAUAUUUCUCUUAAAGAGAUUUUCUUUCGUGGGGAGGGCAUUGUUGCAUAUGCUCCACAAGAAAAACUUGAUCUUUGGGUAAGUGUGCAAUAGCCAAAUUGAAUUCCACAACUUUCUG